GUAGAUAAAGGUUGAAGACUUCUUUAGGUACUUUUUCUCAGAUGAUGCUGUAAACUUCCAUGAGUCUUUCCAUAAAAGAUGUGGUGAUAAAGACUUCAAGUGUAGUUCGUGGCGUCCUCAAGAGAAAUUUGGGUAUGCUCGUGAACUAUCUUUCAACAUCCAAUAAGACUUUAUCUUGGAGCAAAAUUUGGUGGCUCACCCAGCACCACCAGCGUCUGCUGUCUUUGCCUGCUGUUUCACAAAUUCCUUUUCUUCGAUUCUACCUGCUGCUAUUCUGUCCUGUGCUAUCCGGUUCUGCCCUAAUUUCCACCUUCUUUUAGGUUGUCUUUUUUUUCC